UACAGAGGUCUCAAGCGUUGUUCGGAUUCAUUGGGCGUAAAGGGUGCGUAGGUGGCGGGGCAAGUUUGGUGUGAAAUCCCGGGGCUCAACCCCGGAACUGCACUGAAUACUGCCUUGCUUGAGCACUGGAGAGGGAACUGGAAUUUACGGUGUAGCGGUGAAAUGCGUAGAUAUCGUAAGGAAGACCAGUGGCGAAGGCGGGUCUCUGGACAGUUCCUGACGCUGAGGCACGAAGGCCAGGGGAGCAAACGGG
rnacentral:rRNA from 1 species